rnacentral:miRNA from 1 species
AAAUCGCACUGUAUUGAACAGAAC